rnacentral:tRNA from 1 species
CGAGGUUGUAGUCGGCGGCCGGCUCGGUGAGCGCGACCGUGAGGUCGGACCGCACGGAUUCGGCCAGCUCGGCGCCGGUGACCUCGCC